rnacentral:rRNA from 1 species
AGACGUAGGGCGCGAGCGUUGUCCGGAUUUAUUGGGCGUAAAGAGCUCGUAGGCGGCUUGUCGCGUCGACCGUGAAACCCUGUGGCUUAACCAUAGGCUUGCGGUCGAUACGGGCAGGCUAGAGUGCGGCAGGGGAGACUGGAAUUCCUGGUGUAGCGGUGAAAUGCGCAGAUAUCAGGAGGAACACCGGUGGCGAAGGCGGGUCUCUGGGCCGCUACUGACGCUGAGGAGCGAAAGCGUGGGGAGCGAACAGGAUUAGAUACCCUGGUAGUCCACGCUGUAAACGUUGGGCGCUAGGUGUGGGGAGCCUCUCCGGUUCUCCGUGCCGUAGCUAACGCAUUAAGCGCCCCGCCUGGGGAGUACGGUCGCAAGGCUAAA